rnacentral:rRNA from 1 species
UGCGUAGGCGGGUCUUUAAGUCAGGGGUGAAAUCCUGGAGCUCAACUCCAGAACUGCCUUUGAUACUGAGGAUCUUGAGUCCGGGAGAGGUGAGUGGAAUUGCGAGUGUAGAGGUGAAAUUCGUAGAUAUUCGCAAGAACACCAGUGGCGAAGGCGGCUCACUGGCCCGGUACUGACGCUGAGGCACGAAAGCGUGGGAGCAAACA